CAUAUACUCCCUCCGUUCGGAAUUACUUGUCUCGGAAAUGGAUGUAUCUAGAACUAAAAUACGUCUAGAUACAUCCAUUUCUCCGACAAAUAAUUCCAAACGGAGGGAGUAUAUC
rfam:Triticum urartu cultivar G1812 contig68430, whole genome shotgun sequence.